AGGGAAACGCUUUAAUUCCAACUUGGAAGUUUAGUGAGCGUGUAUGGGUGCCGGAUAGUAAGCUUAAAGUGUAAUGAAUAUUAAUAUGUUUAUCCCAUUUCAUUCAAUAGGAGUUUAUUUUCAAGAUUCAAGGAAUCUUCUUGUAAAGCAACGAGGUAUGAAUGAUGAGGCUGUGGAGCUAGGCACUACUGAGGAGGGAGGGGCCGAUGCUUAGAGUUCCCUGUCGGUUCGGUUUUGAUGAUAAUGGUUAUGUUUUUAUGCCUUUAUGAUGGGUCCCAUGUUGGGACAUUUUGUUGGCUUGACUUUAAGACAAUAUGCCUUUGGGCAUGAUGUAAAUGCUAUGGUGGGGUGUUGGUAAUGGUGUAACUUCUAUGGUGGGGUGACGGUAACCCCACAUAAGAAGGUUAAAUGCCUUUUUGUAUGUGUUGUAGGGACUGAGUUCCCUCUUAUCUAGAACUAGUUAUGUUUGAUGAAUGGAUGAUGGACUCUGAGAGUCCUUUAAUUAGAA